AUUGAACGCUGGCGGCAUGCCUUACACAUGCAAGUCGAACGGCAGCACGGGAGCAAUCCUGGUGGCGAGUGGCGAACGGGUGAGUAAUAUAUCGGAACGUGCCCAGUCGUGGGGAUAACGUAGCGAAAGCUACGCUAAUACCGCAUACGAUCUACGGAUGAAAUCGGGGGAUCGCAAGACCUCGCGCGAUUGGAGCGGCCGAUAUCAGAUUAGGUAGUUGGUGAGGUAAAGGCUCACCAAGCCGACGAUCUGUAGCUGGUCUGAGAGGACGACCAGCCACACUGGGACUGAGACACGGCCCAGACUCCUACGGGAGGCAGCAGUGGGGAAUUUUGGACAAUGGGCGCAAGCCUGAUCCAGCAAUGCCGCGUGCAGGAUGAAGGCC
rnacentral:rRNA from 1 species